ACAGUGCUGCCGCGAUGUGGACACUGUAUUGUGAUCAGUAACAGCGACUUGUGUUUUAUAUCCACGGAAUGCUGGCAUUUAACACUGCUUGUUUUAUUGGUUUAUGUCUGUAUGUUGAUAUUACUAUAAUAUUGUGAAAGAGUAUUGAUAUUUCAAUUUGAUUCUCAUUUGAAUUUGAUUUUCAAAGAAAAAAAUUUAACCUUUAACUUUUUCUGUAAAUACCAGUUCUGAUGAUUUUUUUCGUCAGAUAUGAAUAAUAAACUGAUUAUAGUAAAGCUUUGAUUUGUUGCGAAGAUAAAGUGCAUGUGUUUUGAUGAUAUUUCCUUGCGAGUCUCACUGUUAAAUAAUGUGUACAUAAUAAAGUUUAAUUGUG
rnacentral:misc_RNA from 1 species